AUUGAACGCUGGCGGCAGGCCUAACACAUGCAAGUCGAACGAGUGGCGGACGGGUGAGUAAUGUCUGGGAAACUGCCUGAUGGAGGGGGAUAACUACUGGAAACGGUAGCUAAUACCGCAUACCAUCGGAUGUGCCCAGAUGGGAUUAGCUAGUAGGUGGUGUAAAGGCUCACCUGGGCGACGAUCCCUAGCUGGGCUGAGAGUAUGACCUGCCACACUGGAACUGAGACACGGUCCAGACUCCUACGGGAGGCAGCAGGGGGGAAUAUUGCACAAUGGGCGCAAGCCUGAUGCAGCCAUGCCGCGUGUAUGAAGAAGGCCUUCGGGUUGUAAAGUACUGUCAGCGGGGAGGCGUUACCAACAGAAUACGCACCGGCUAACUUCGUGCCAGCAGCCGCGGUAAUAC
rnacentral:rRNA from 1 species